AUGUUAGCUCAGGGCUAAUCUUCCUAAAAAAAAAAAAAAAAUCCCCAGCAUUAUCAAUUUUUAUAACUAAAUUUCAUACUUGCUCAUUAACAUGGCCUUUAUUAAACCUUAGACAUCCUAACCCACAACACAAACAUCUGGGAAUAGGCUAUUUAUGGACUAUUUAAAAUAUAUUUCUCUGUGAUUUCUACUUGAUCUUUUACAAGAUAACAGAGGAAAUACAUCUGACAUCUCUGCUUAGUUUUAUUUAUCUGAUGUUGCUAAGAUGGUAAACCACAUUUCAAAGAAUUGCACGACAUCAUUCAAAUCUUUUUUUAAUAGAUGUUCGCAGUAAUGAACUCUACAUUGCUAAUAUUUCCAGGCUACAGGGAAACAUUUAAUUUUUAGCUUAUUGUCCUUCUGCAGUAGGCAACUGUAUUUGUAAGUCAGAAAAACACCUAAACAUGGGAAGAGGCAAGUAUCAAACAAAUCAAGUCAUCAACUAUUUACAGAGUAAGUCCUAACAUGCAACGUUGCACCAGUUGUUAGAAACUGUGGGGACGCAAAGAAAGAUAUGAUUCUUUAGUGAAGGGACUUGGAAUUUGAAGAAUGGAGUUUCAUAAACUGGAAAAAAUUAAACAACACCGCCUAACACUUGCAGUUCCUCAGAUUUCACAUGUAUACGCACAUGUGCAUAUGCACACAAUACGCACCAUGAUCAAUAUUACUUUUUUAUUAUAAACUACUUAGAUUUCUUCACUUUCAUCACCAGAACUUGCAUUAGGCUUUCUUAAUGGAGUAAUUUUUCAAAAGAAGUUUUAAAAAUCACUUUACAAGAAUUAUACUGUAGUAUACGGUUUUGAGUAGAAAAUAAAGCUGCAUUGAAACUCUAAAUAGUCUGUUUGGCUCACUCCCUAGGUAAGUGAUUUAUUCCUAGCCACCUGCCUCGUAGCUUCUGGCAUUCAGAAUUCAUGCUUUUGCAAAAGUGCAAAUUACUAUAUCAUGAAUCUCUUGGCAUCUUUUACAAAUAUUCAAAAUCAUAAAUGUAAAAUAAGAAUGUAAAUUGCUUAGUAUAGGCUAGCGGUCUCUAAAUUUUUUUAUGCAAACGCAUUUCAGCAUGCUUUUAAGCAUAUGCCCAAUUAUACAGAUAUUUACUAACUUAUAAAACAUAUAUACCAUUGUAGAAUUAUUAUACUAUAAAACAGAAAAAAUAGAUAUUUAAAAGAUAAAAUAUAAAUAGAAGUUUUAAUAAGUAGGUGUGUGUAUAUAUAUAUUUUUUACCCUUUCUCCAACAGAUCAUCUUGUACAUCCCCAAUCGGAGUGUAAUUGCUGGUGAAAUAUAGAGAAAGGAAAGAUCAGUCUGGGCUAGUAUUUGGAAAGGCAACAAGUAGCAGGUGAGAUCUUAGAGUUUAGAUGAGUGAAGAGGAAGGGGAGUUGGGGUUGUCCCCUUUAAGGAGAGGAAAAGGCAAGCGUAUAAAAAGAAAUGACAAGAGGUGAUGAAAAAGAAUACCUUCACCUUUUCCCUUCUCAAGAGAAAUAUUUUUUGAUUUUGAAAUUUAAGGGGUUUUUUUCCUGGUACCGUGGCCAGAAUAUCUGGGGUGGCCAGAAUAUCUGGGGUGAAGAGAGUUAAAUGUAGUUUAUAAGAAUCACAUUCUCUUAAAUAAUAACCAGUGAAGGGGAAGGGCCUUGGGCACUCUUAUACAAUGCUGGUGAGAAUUGGAAUAGUAGUAAUAGUCCUGAAAUGACUCUGAGAAUACAAAUCAAAAACCCUAUAAGUGUGCACACCCUUGACACUUUAUCCAAAGGAAACAAUCAUCUGUACCUACGAGACCUAGCUACAGGGAGGGUUUAUGACAGGUUAUUUCUAACAGAAAAGUACUGGAAACAAUCUAAAUUCCAAAAAAGAAAAAUAGAAUAUUGGUUAAAUAAACAAGACAUAUAUGUGCAUAUGGGAGAAUGCUCUGCCAUUUAAAAAGAUAUAAGAGAACAUUUAAUGAUGUGGAAAGCUGUUUUAGUGGACAUUAAUUGUUUUUUGCCUAUCCAGGAUUCCUUCUUAUGGGAACAGACCCAUCUCUACCUUUUGGGAAACCACACAUUCCCUGCCUCAGUCCAUAUGGCUUGGGUGGAGUUGAUCCUCCCACUGGGGAGAGGCUAGAAUGCAGAAGGGGAGCUGAGCAGACUUUGACCAUAAAGAAAGGAUAACACCCUACAGGAUGGAGUAACAAUUUGGAAGGAAUCUGGGUCUCUGAGUGAACUUGAGAAGCAGACCUACCUAUCUGCCCUGGACCAUUUGCCCAUUUGUUAGCUGAUAAAGAUAUAAACUUCUCUUAUUUUAGCCACCAUA